rnacentral:rRNA from 1 species
AUUGAACGCUGGCGGCAUGCCUUACACAUGCAAGUCGAACGGUAACAGGUCUUCGGAUGCUGACGAGUGGCGAACGGGUGAGUAAUACAUCGGAACGUGCCUAGUAGUGGGGGAUAACUACUCGAAAGGGUGGCUAAUACCGCAUGGGAUCUACGGAUGAAAGCAGGGGAUCGCAAGACCUUGUGCUACUAGAGCGGCCGAUGGCAGAUUAGGUAGUUGGUGGGAUAAAAGCUUACCAAGCCGACGAUCUGUAGCUGGUCUGAGAGGACGAUCAACCACACUGGGACUGAGAAACGGCCCAGACUCCUACGGGAGGCAGGAGUGGGGAAUUUUGGACAAUGGGCGAAAGCCUGAUCCAGCAAUGCCGCGUGCAGGAUGAAGGCCUUCGGGUUGUAAACUGCUUUUGUACGGAACGAAAAGCCCCGGGUUAAUACCCUGGGGUCAUGACGGUACCGUAAGAAUAAGCACCGGCUAACUACGUGCCAGCCGCCGCGGUAA